GGGCCAGUGGCGAAAUGGUAUACGCGCAACACUUAAAAUGUUGUCUCAACUCUGAGGUGCGGGUUCGACCCCCGCCUGGCCCACCA
rnacentral:tRNA from 1 species